rnacentral:lncRNA from 1 species
CACAGGACUUAAUGGACCUAAAUUUCUGGAAGAAACAGGUAGAUAUUAGGAAAACGUUUUCCAACACAAAAAUACAGUAGAUGAGACUUUCUGGUCAGGAUCUGAGUCUCCGUGGCUGGUCUUUAAUAGCAGGUCAGGCAAAUAUUGAUCAGUUAUGACCCUGGCAAAACCACCGUGAUGCCAGAGCUGGCUGUGUGACUGCUGAAGGCAGCCUCGUCAGGGCCCUGGGAAGUGUGAGGGGGCUGCACGUGGGGCACCAACCCCAGGCAGCGCUACAGGCUUGGGGCAGAGUGGCUGGAAAGCUGUGCAGAGGAAAAGGAUCUGAGGGUGCUGACUGAUGCUCGCCUGAACACGAGCCAGCAGCGUGCCCAGGUGGCCAAGAAGGCCAGCGGCAUCCUGGCUUGUGUCAGGAAUGGUGCAGCCAGCAGGAGCAGGGAGGUGAUCGUCCCCCUGUGCUCUGCUCUGGUGAGGCCGCACCUCGAGCACUGUGUUCAGCUUUGGGCCCCUCACUACCAGAAGGACAUCAAGGCCCUGGAGUGUGUCCAGAGCAGGGCUAUGAAGCUGGAGGUGUUUAAAAGAUAUUGAAAUCAUGUCACUAAGCUCUGCAUCUAGGGGAGGGCUGGUUAGUGUUAGGUCAGAGGUUGGACUAGGUGAUCUGGGAGGUCUCUUCCAACCUAAAUGAUUCGGUGGAAGAUUAAGCGAUAUGAUUUUAUAGGCUAAAGAACCAUUGAAAAGAGAAAGAGGUGGGUAAGCUUUUCAAAUCAAUGCUGAACAAUUAAAGCGUUCUGAUUAUGGAUGGGUUUGCAUUGACCACUUGUCCCUUUUAUGUAUAUGUUCUCAUAGGGUUUUAGAAGCAUCAUCAUGUUUUGUGGUUUUUUUUUUUUUCCCCUCUUAGGAUCCCCUUCUCAGCCUAGGCAGAGAGUGCACUUGCCGAACUGGUGUUUGUUCACUGUUGGUUGUGCUUCUCAGAAUCAGUCCCUGUACGUUUUCUACUGCACACUGUCUGUAUCUUGCUCUGAAGUGCAAAAGUUGCAUCUUCUAGGAACACCUUGUUCUGAUAAACAAUGUGGAAUGCAGAGGACCUGGAGCCAAAGCUGGGUAUAUUCAGAACAAUGUGAAAGUGAGCAAAACCAAAUUUCUUUGUUACCUUGACUUCUAGAGAGCUAACAAUUGACUCCAGAACUUCAGAAAACCAUUUCUGUUGUCUUCUGACACUUAUGAAAUAGCUUCACAAGAGUCAUUAUCAUUCAAGCAUUUGAUAGAGGUCUGAUUUUCACUUGUGGCCUACUGAUGCAUACAGCACAAAAGAUGAAUUUUCUGCUCAGCCAAUCCCCAGCUUAUUGUAGUAGAAAAUUGUGCUUGGCAUUAUGUUGUUUCUUUUGAUGUACAUUACAUGUUAUAUUUCUAGUGCUUGAAUUAGGAUUACAAAUUUCCAGAGUUAUGGGAUGACAGCGUAACCUUGACCAGAUGAUCCUGAAAGUAUUUUUCAACCUUACUGAUUCUAUGAAUUAUUUUAAGAUGGUGUGGCAGGUAAUAUAGGACCCAAAUUUAUAUUUGGUAAUUAAAAAUAAUAAAAGAGCAUCUGUAAAAUUUCA